rnacentral:tRNA from 1 species
CGGAAUGUAAAUCAAUUUGGUAGAUGGCUACAUUUGGGAUGUAGAGGUUGCAUGUUCGAGUCAUGUCAUUCCGA